rnacentral:rRNA from 1 species
AUUGAACGCUGGCGGCAGGCCUAACACAUGCAAGUCGAGCGGAUGAAGGGAGCUUGCUCCUGGAUUCAGCGGCGGACGGGUGAGUAAUGCCUAGGAAUCUGCCUGGUAGUGGGGGAUAACGUCCGGAAACGGGCGCUAAUACCGCAUACGUCCUGAGGGAGAAAGUGGGGGAUCUUCGGACCUCACGCUAUCAGAUGAGCCUAGGUCGGAUUAGCUAGUUGGUGGGGUAAAGGCCUACCAAGGCGACGAUCCGUAACCGGUCUGAGAGGAUGAUCAGUCGCACUGGAACUGAGACACGGUCCAGACUCCUACGGGAGGCAGCAGUGGGGAAUAUUGGACAAUGGGCGAAAGCCUGAUCCAGCCAUGCCGCGUGUGUGAAGAAGGUCUUCGGAUUGUAAAGCACUUUAAGUUGGGAGGAAGGGCAGUAAGUUAAUACCUUGCUGUUUUGACGUUACCAACAGAAUAAGCACCGGCUAACUUCGUG